AAAACAUAGCCUUCAGCCCACACAAGUAUUGAAGGUGAUGCCUGCCCAGUGACUAUAGUUUAACGGCCGCGGUAUCCUAACCGUGCGAAGGUAGCGCAAUCAAUUGUCUCAUAAAUCGAGACCUGUAUGAAUGGCUAAACGAGGUCUUAACUGUCUCUUGCAGAUAAUCAAUGAAAUUGAUCCCCCUGUGCAAAAGCAGGAAUACCACCAUAAGACGAGAAGACCCUGUGGAACUUAAAAAUCUUAGACCAAUGCCACCACCCUCCCAACCUACAGGGCUCACCCUACUGCACCCUAUGGUCCUAAUUUUUUGGUUGGGGCGACCUUGGAGCACAGACGAACCUCCAAAAAUAAGAUCACCUAAUCUUAACCUAGACUAUACCCAUCAAAGUACUAACAGUAACCAGACCCAAUAUAAUUGACCAAUGAACCAAGCUACCCCAGGGAUAACAGCGCAAUCUCCUUCAAGAGCCCCUAUCGACAAGGAGGUUUACGACCUCGAUGUUGGAUCAGGACAACCUAAUGGUGCAGCCGCUAU
rnacentral:rRNA from 1 species